rnacentral:rRNA from 1 species
UGCGCAGGCGGUUCGUUGUGUCUGCUGUGAAAGCCCCGGGCUCAACCUGGGAAUGGCAGUGGAAACUGGCGAGCUGGAGUGUGGCAGAGGGGGGUGGAAUUCCAGGUGUAGCAGUGAAAUGCGUAGAGAUCUGGAGGAACACCGAUGGCGAAGGCAGCCCCCUGGGCUGACACUGACGCUCAGGCACGAAAGCGUGGGGAGCAAACAGGAUUAGAUACCCUGGUAGUCCACGCCCUAAACGAUGGCAACUGGGUGUUGGGGGAGCGAUUCCUCAGUACCGUAGCUAACGCGUGAAGUUGCCCGCCUGGGGAGUACGGCCGCAAGGUUAAA